AUGCCGCCGCGGAUGACCUCGGCGGCGAGUGGCGUCGCGCCGGCGCCGGCCCGAGCCGCCGCCCCCUCCUCCUCAAAGCUCCCCAAUGCGGCGCGGCCAAAGAAGGGCAAGACAUCGGCAAAGAAAAACAAGGCGGCGGACGGCUCCGGCACCUCCAAGGCGAAGAGGAAGAAGCUUGCGGGGCGUGCGACGGGCGCGGCGGCUGCCGAAGUGCCGGCAAGCUCACUCGUUGAGCCGGCGGCCGGCGCGCACAACAUGUUCCACGAAAUGCCUCCAAGUCUCAGUGAUGAUGCAUACAUGUCAACAAUGGGUGUUGGCUCCAACAAUUCGCAUUGGUCUCAAACCAAUGACAUGCAUUUUCAAGACCAUGAGUUCGAGGUGGACGAGGAGGGUGAGGGCAUUGUCGACGCACCAAAAGGAAGAGCGGGCAAUUACACCAACACCGAUGACAUCUUACUAUACAAUACUUGGUUGCAAGUGUCGAGGGAUCCAUCCGUUGGAGGUGAUCAAAGUAGAGAUGCUUAUUGGAACCGGAUGAAGGAACACUUUGAUGCUCGCAACGUGAGUGGAAUUGACCGCUCCAACCGAUCACUUAGGUCCCGGUGGUCGACAAUCAACUCGGAUUGUCAAAGGUGGGCGGCUUGUCAAAAGGCAGUUGACAAGUUGAACCCAAGUGGCACAAAUGAGGACGAUAGAUACAACAUUGCGCAAAACUUGUUCAAAGAAGAGGAGAGGAAAACCAAGAAGGGGAAGAUCAAGAAAGGAAGGGUCUUUACUUUGCCUCAUUGCUAUGAUGUGUUGAAGGAUGAUGAGAAAUGGAAGAAGUGUGAAGAUUUGGAUGAUUUGCAUUUGAGCGACAAACGAAAGCGAACAAUUAAGUUGGAUGAUGAUGAGGAGGAGGAGGAUGCAUCAAGUUAUGACGGCAAGAGAAGCCCCACACUCAACUCGGUUUCAUACUCGAAGCCAAAGCGGCCGGAUGGGUGCAAGAAAGACAAAACCGAAAAGAAGAAGAGGAAAGGAGAUGAUGAGCUCAAAAAUGCUAUGGAAGCUAUUGUGAAGGCAAGAAAAGAAGCCAACGAGAAGCACUUGUUCUUCUUGGACACAACUAACCUCAAUGCGGCGCAAAAGGAGUAUGUCAAUCUUGCCCAACAAGAAGUCUUGAUCCAAAAAAGAGCCAUGGUUCGUGCAAUGGGUGGCGGUGCCCUCGGCGCAAUGGGUGGCGGUGACAUCGGCGCCAUGGGUGGCGGUGGCCUCGGCGCCAUGGGUGGCAUGGGUGGCUUGGGUGGCGGUGGCUUCGGCGCCAUGGGUGGCAUGGGUGGCUUGGGUGGCUUUGGAGCACCCCCCGACUCUAUGGCCAUGAUGGGAGGCAUGAGUUUUGCUUCUCUCAUGGGAGGCAUGGGUGCACCUCCGGCCGCCAUGGGCGGAAUGUCCCCCAUGUGCCAAACAAGGAAAGUUCCCACCCCCUCGUGUGCCCCACGUCUCCCGCGAAUAACAAACAGAAAAAAAACACAACUACCCUCCCUUCACGUGAUCUCCCACCCCAUCCUCCACCAGGGACCCUACGUCCCCAGGGUACCUCGCGGCAACUCUCUUCUUCCCCCAGCCAGCUCCCCCUCCCACGGCAAAAACAAAAGUGAAAACAUAGAAGGGCGUGAGAAAAAUCAAAGUCAGAUAGAUCGUGGGAAAUUCGUGAAGAAGACAAUGUUGUCUGCAACUAUUUGUGCUGAUCAAGCAACAAUCUGA
rnacentral:rRNA from 1 species